CUGAUGCUGAAGCAGAGAUUCCGAUUCGUCAAGAGGUGGCCAAUUCGACUAUGCCUUUUUAAUAACCGUCAAGGGUCACAGGAAGUUCGUAAUGCUGAAACUAAUCAAUCCUAUCAAUUUAUUCUCUACGAUGUCAACAAUAGACAAAUUGACCUGGAAUUUCGGCGAAACGAUACUGUUCUCGUUGACAGCAUCAACUGAUGGAAUCGUUGGAUGACAUAGAAUUUCUACAUUUAUUCAGCUGCAAAUGGUAGAAAACAGAAACAUUCUGGCCAAUUUGGAUGGAUCGAUUUGUGUCAAAGGAUCGACUAACCGAAGGAACUGAAUCACGUUCAUGAGGUUUAUACUGGUAUCGGACUGGUUAUUAAUUUCAACAAUACCAUUAAUUACUAUUAAAGAUAGUAACAGACAAGGAGUUUUCCGCCUCCAAGCGAAAAUAAGGACCAAUCAAUCAUUGUAAUUCAGGUAAACAACUGAAAGCGUAAAAAUAAGGCUAUCACGAAAAAGAAAGUUUUUCAAUUCGCACCACAAUCAUUAAGGAUUCCGACGUUGCUGG